CACAUGACGAAUACCUAGCGGAUGACCUGAAAAUAAGCCACAAUAAAGCACCACAGAUCGGCUGAGGUUGGAGAAGAAGGUAGAAGUCUGCACCAGAUCGGAGCCAUUAUUCUACGAUAACCAAACGAAACUCCGGCACAUUCGAACUGAACUGAAUUUGGGAACUGAACUGCAAUGGGAAACGAUUUUCGGCUUAAGGGAAAAUGGUUCAAAUAUAAUUAAUAAAUGUGUUUUACCAAAAACACUUGUUUCUAUUGUUUCUGCUACUUUUAAAUAAGAUUAUCACAAUUAAAGUUACUAAACGUAUCGUAUUGAGAUAAAAGAGCGCUUUUAAUUAAUGAAACAAAGUGCAUUUGUUUCCAAAUCACGCGGAUGGUUAUUACUGGACUUUUUUAUCCAACUCCCUAACGACAUGAAGGAUAUUCAGAAAUAAUUUCAUUUUUGUAUGUGAAUAGAAAAAAUGUGUGUAUGCUAGCCACCAGCUACGAGCAUAAGCAUGGAUAAGCGAAGGGACCUGGAGCAGGACCAGGACCAGGACCAUGAGCAGGGCAGGACAGGACAGGACAGGGCAGGGCAGAUGGCGGUGGCAGACAGCUUUUUGCUAUGAGCAGCUGCAAAAUAAAUGUGAAUUUCAUGAA
rnacentral:sRNA from 1 species